CCUACGGGUGGCUGCAGUAGGGAAUAUUGGACAAUGGAGGAAACUCUGAUCCAGCCAUCCCGCGUGCAGGAUUAAGGUCCUAUGGAUUGUAAACUUCUUUUCUUUGGGAAUAAACUCUCCGAUUCCUCGGAGCUUGCAGGUACCAGGGGAAUAAGCACCGGCUAACUCCGUGCCAGCAGCCGCGGUAAUACGGAGGGUGCAAGCGUUAUCCGGAUUCACUGGGUUUAAGGGGUGCGUGGAAGGUUUUGGUGAAAGCCUACAGCUUAACUGUAGAAUGGCCAUUGAUACUGCUUAACUGGAAUCAAGUCGAAGUGGAUGGAAUAGAGCAUGUAGCGGUGAAAUGCUUAGAUAUGAUUGAGAACACCAAUUGCGAAGGCAGUUCACUAGGCUUGUAUUGACACUGAGGCACGAAAGCGUGGGGAUCAAACAGGAUUAGAUACCCCAGUAGUC
rnacentral:rRNA from 1 species